GUAGGUGGCAAGCGUUGUCCGGAAUUAUUGGGCGUAAAGCGCGCGCAGGCGGUUCUUUAAGUCUGAUGUGAAAGCCCACGGCUCAACCGUGGAGGGUCAUUGGAAACUGGAGAACUUGAGUACAGAAGAGGAAAGCGGAAUUCCACGUGUAGCGGUGAAAUGCGUAGAGAUGUGGAGGAACACCAGUGGCGAAGGCGGCUUUUCUGGUCUGUAACUGACGCUGAGGCGCGAAAGCGUGGGGAGCAAACAGGGAUUAGAUACCCUGGUAGUCCACGCCGUAAACGAUGAGUGCUAAGUGUUAGGGGGUUUCCGCCCCCUUAGUGCUGCAGCUAACGCAUUAAGCACUCCGCCUGGGGAUACGGCCGCAAGGCUG
rnacentral:rRNA from 1 species